rnacentral:rRNA from 1 species
GAAGGUAGCGUAAUCACUUGUUCUUUAAAUGAGGACUAGUAUGAAUGGCACCACGAGGGUUCAACUGUCUCCUUUUUUUGAUCAGUGAAACUAAUCUCCCCGUGAAAAAGCGGGAAUUUACUUAUAAGACGAGAAGACCCUAUGGAGCUUUAAACAAAUUAACAUACGCUAUUACUUUAUUAUCUUAAGAGUUACAACAAAUAAUAUAGCAAUCUGAUUAAAAGUUUUCGAUUGGGGUGAUCACGGAGUAAAAAACAACCUCCACGUCGAACGGAUUAAAAUCCUGAACAAAAAGCUACAGCUUUAUGCACUAAUACAUUAACGCCUUUGACCCAUUUUUUGAUCAACGAACCAAGUUACCCUAGGGAUAACAGCGCAAUCUGCUUCGAGAGCCCCUAUCGACAAGCGGGUUUACGACCUCGAUGUUGGAUCAGGGUA